AUGAACGCUGGCGGCGUGCCUCAUACCUGCAAGUCGAGCGAACGGACGAGAAGCUUGCUUUUCUGAUGUUAGCGGCGGACGGGUGAGUAACACGUGGAUAACCUACCUAUAAGACUGGGAUAACUUCGGGAAACCGGAGCUAAUACCGGAUAAUAUUUUGAACCGCAUGGUUCAAAAGUGAAAGACGGUCUUGCUGUCACUUAUAGAUGGAUCCGCGCUGCAUUAGCUAGUUGGUAAGGUAACGGCUUACCAAGGCAACGAUGCAUAGCCGACCUGAGAGGGUGAUCGGCCACACUGGAACUGAGACACGGUCCAGACUCCUACGGGAGGCAGCAGUAGGGAAUCUUCCGCAGUGGGCGAAAGCCUGACGGAGCAACGCCGCGUGAGUGAUGAAGGUCUUCGGAUCGUAAAACUCUGUUAUUAGGGAAGAACAUAUGUGUAAGUAACUGUGCACAUCUUGACGGUACCUAAUCAGAAAGCCACGGCUAACUACGUG
rnacentral:rRNA from 1 species